rnacentral:rRNA from 1 species
UUCCGGUUGAUCCUGCCGGACCCGACUGCUAUUUGGGUGAGGAUAAGCCAUGCGAGUUGAAUGGGAUACCCAAAGUUCCCAUGGCAAACUGCUCAGUAACACAUGAUCAACUUACCCUAUAGAGAAAAAUAACCUCGGGAAACUGAGGAUAAUGUUUCAUAGUUGAAUUGGCUUGGAAAAGUUUUUCGACGAAAGGGGUAAAAAGAAUGGUUUUUAUCUGCUAUAGGAUAGGAUCGUGUUCGAUUAUGGUUGUUGGUGAGGUAAUGGCUCACCAAGCCGAUAAUCGAUAGGGGCCGUGAGAGCGGGAGCCCCGAGAUGGGUACUGAGACACGGACCCAGGCCCUAUGGGGCGCAGCAGGCGAGAAAACUUUGCAAUGUGCGAAAGCACGACAAGGUUAAUCCGAGUGUUUCCUGCUAAAGGAAUCUUUUGUUAGUCGUAAAACCACUAUCGAAUAAGGGGUGGGCAAGUUCUGGUGUCAGCCGCCGCGGUAAAACCAGCACCUCAAGUGGUCAGGAGGAUUAUUGGGCCUAAAGCAUCCGUAGCCUGCUUUGUAAGUUUUCGGUUAAAUCCAUAUGCUCAACAUAUGGGCUGCCGGGAAUACUGCAUAGCUAGGGAGUGGGAGAGGUAGACGGUACUCCGUAGGAAGGGGUAAAAUCCUUUGAUCUAUGGAUGACCACCUGUGGCGAAGGCGGUCUACCAGAACACGUCCGACGGUGAGGGAUGAAAGCUGGGGGAGCAAACCGGAUUAGAUACCCGGGUAGUCCCAGCUGUAAACUAUGCAAACUCAGUGAUGCAUUGGCUUGUGGCCAGUGCAGUGCCGCAGGAAAGCCGUUAAGUUUGCCGCCUGGGAAGUACGUACGCAAGUAUGAAACUUAAAGGAAUUGGCGGGGGGAGCACCACAAGGGGUGAAGCCUGCGGUUCAAUUUGAGUCACGCCGG